UACGAAGGGGGCUAGCGUUGUUCGGAUUUACUGGGCGUAAAGCGCACGUAGGCGGAUUCUUUAGUCAGGGGUGAAAUCCCGAGGCUCAACCUCGGAACUGCCUUUGAUACUGGGGAUCUCGAGUUCGGGAGAGGUGAGUGGAAUUGCGAGUGUAGAGGUGAAAUUCGUAGAUAUUCGCAAGAACACCAGUGGCGAAGGCGGCUCACUGGCCCGAUACUGACGCUGAGGUGCGAAAGCGUGGGGAGCAAACAGG
rnacentral:rRNA from 1 species